rnacentral:tRNA from 1 species
GGGGGUGUAGUUUAACGGGAAAAUGCUUGACUCUAAAUCAGGAUGAUGUGGGUUCGAAUCCCAUCGCCUUCACCA